GCGUUUGUAGUCCAACGGUUAGGAUAAUAGUCUUCCAAGCAAUAGACCCGGGUUCGACUCCCGGCAAACUCA
rnacentral:tRNA from 1 species